UACGUAGGGGGCUAGCGUUGUCCGGAAUCAUUGGGCGUAAAGGAGCGCGUAGGCGGUCCGGUAAGUCGGUUGUGAAAACUGGGGGGCUCAACCCUCAGAGGCCGACCGAUACUGUCGGGCUAGAGUCCGGAAGAGGCGAGUGGAAUUCCUGGUGUAGCGGUGAAAUGCGCAGAUAUCAGGAGGAACACCAAUGGCGAAGGCAGCUCGCUGGGACGGUACUGGACGCUGAGGCGCGAAAGCGUGGGGAGCAAACAGGAUUGAGACUACCCC
rnacentral:rRNA from 1 species